rnacentral:rRNA from 1 species
GACGAACGCUGGCGGCGUGCCUAAUACAUGCAAGUCGAACGCUUCUUUCCUCCCGAGUGCUUGCACUCAAUUGGAAAGAGGAGUGGCGGACGGGUGAGUAACACGUGGGUAACCUACCCAUCAGAGGGGGAUAACACUUGGAAACAGGUGCUAAUACCGCAUAACAGUUUAUGCCGCAUGGCAUAAGAGUGAAAGGCGCUUUCGGGUGUCGCUGAUGGAUGGACCGGCGGUGCAUUAGCUAGUUGGUGAGGUAACGGCUCACCAAGGCCACGAUGCAUAGCCGACCUGAGAGGGUGAUCGGCCACACUGGGACUGAGACACGGCCCAGACUCCUACGGGAGGCAGCAGUAAGGAAUCUUCGGCAAUGGACGGAAGUCUGACCGAGCAACGCCGCGUGAGUGAAGAAGGUUUUCGGAUCGUAAAACUCUGUUGUUAGAGAAGAACAAGGACGUUAGUAACUGAACGUCCCCUGACGGUAUCUAACCAGAAAGCCACGGCUAACUACGUGCCAGCAGCCGCGGUAA